rnacentral:rRNA from 1 species
AGAGUUUGAUCCUGGCUCAGGAUGAACGCUGGCGGCGUGCUUAACACAUGCAAGUCGAACGGGAUCCCAGGAGCUUGCUCCGGGGUGAGAGUGGCGAACGGGUGAGUAAUGCGUGACCGACCUGCCCCAUACACCGGAAUAGCUCCUGGAAACGGGUGGUAAUGCCGGAUGCUCCAGUUGACCGCAUGGUCCUCUGGGAAAGCUUUUGCGGUAUGGGAUGGGGUCGCGUCCUAUCAGCUUGAUGGCGGGGUAACGGCCCACCAUGGCUUCGACGGGUAGCCGGCCUGAGAGGGCGACCGGCCACAUUGGGACUGAGAUACGGCCCAGACUCCUACGGGAGGCAGCAGUGGGGAAUAUUGCACAAUGGGCGCAAGCCUGAUGCAGCGACGCCGCGUGCGGGAUGACGGCCUUCGGGUUGUAAACCGCUUUUGACUGGGAGCAAGCCCUUCGGGGUGAGUGUACCUUUCGAAUAAGCACCGGCUAACUACGUGCCAGCAGCCGCGGU